GACUGCUCUGCCACCUCAUUGAAGGGACACCAAAAAAAGGAAGUGGGGGGAGGCUGGGAGAGCUAGGAAAUGAAAGGGAGCUAAUAGGAGAGGAGCGGAGCUGCUGUCCUGUUCCCCCUAACCUCAAAAGCUCCUGAUCCAGACUCAGGAUAGGGGGAAGGAGUAACUGGAGGAAUUAACUGCCUGCUCUGAACUAAGGAGGACGGUACUUCUGCCAGAGACUGCAACCACAACGUACCCUACAAGCAAAUCGCAUGAAAGAUGAAGCACGCUGGAAAAUCGAGAUUGCAAGCUAUGCAGGACAGAGACUGCCUCUCACUAUGGCUAUGGCCUUGUCUUUACCCCAGAAAAAGAAAAAAUAUGUUCACUCGAGUAAGCUGACUCAAGAUAAGAAUGGACAUAUUUUUGGAAUGAAG